rnacentral:lncRNA from 1 species
AUUUAACUUGGGAUAGAAAAGCAGGCAAUCAAUCGCAAUACCAAACACCCAUUUACAAACACAAAGGGUUUAAAUACAACACUGGACUUUCUACAAAAUAGAUCAGCUCGACAAAAGGGGGGGACUAUCCUACAACCGACUAGCAGGACACGUUCUCCAACCCUUAUGACUUCACCUCUGCAACUCCUCAAGGCCUCAACUGAAGCUAUCUGGCCACUCCGUCCACCAGGGACCUGAAAUUUUAAUCCCACAACCGGGAUGAGACGAUGUCUCAGCAAGUUCAACCCCCUAAACCCCUAUUAGAAAGAAAAUACGCCCCGGGUGGCCUAGCCACAUCACACAGAAGACUUACCUCGCCUCAGCCUUCAUCUGCAGGUUAGUACAAUUUAUAUAAUCCAACCACGUACAAUUAUGAUAACCACACAACCAUGGCACAAUCACAUUAUCAAACAAUUCAACCACUUGGAUCGUCUCAGAGAUCAAUCGACUCGGCCGAUUACAUGUCAUUCCAACAAAUCAUCAUCACUCUCAAUCACGGCCCUACUCGGCGCGACCUUUAACAGGUGGCAAUUCACGGCCCCAUCGGGCGCGACCUCUAGUAGGUGGCAUAUCACGGCCCCGUCGGGCGCGACCUCUAAUAGGUGGCAUAUAACGGCCCCAUUGGGCGCGACCUCUAAUAGGUGGCAUAUCACAGCCCCGUCGGGCGCGACCUCUAAUAGGUGGCAUAUAACGGCCCCAUCGGGCGCGACCUCUAAUAGGUGGCAUAACACGGCCCCGUCGGGCGCGACCUCUAAUAGGUGGCAUAUAACGGCCCCGUCGGGCGCGACCUCUAAUAGGUGGCAUAUAACGGCCCCAUCGGGCGCGACCUCUAAUAGGUGGCAUAUCACGGCCCCGUCGGGCGCGACCUCUAAUAGGUGGCAUAUCACGGCCCCAUCGGGCGCGACCUCUAAUAGGUGGCAUAUCACGGCCCCGUCGGGCGCGACCUCUAAUAGGUGGCAUAUAACGAUCAAUCUUCCUUAAAUUCCCACACUUAGGGUUUUCUAAAGAAUCCUCAUAAAUCACAGUCACACUCAAUUCAUCACAAUCAAUCAUCAAUUUCAAAUUCUAAAUGCACUGCAACGAUCGGCACGAAAUUCUGAGCAAAUAAGGUCCCAAUGAAAAUUUUCGGAAUUUAAUAAAUAAUUAAAUUUAUUCCGAAAAUAAUUAAAUAAUAAUAUCCAUAGUUUUCGAAAUCCUCACUCAAUUUAUAAUAUCCAAUCAUCAAUUUCAAAAUCCGAAUGUACCGUAGCGACCGGCACGAAAUUAUGAGAAUUUAGGAUCCCGACCAAAAUUUUCGGAAUUUAAUAAAUAAUUAAAUUUAUUCCGAAAAUAAUGAAAUAAUAAUAUUUUAAUAAUUUCGAAUAAUAAUAUAUUAUUAAAUUAUUUAAUGAUUUCGGGAUAUUUAAAUAAAUCAAAAGUAAAUUCCUUUAUGUCACCUCAAUGUUUAUAUUAAUAUAAACACCCACUUAACUUUAAAUUAAACACAAUUUAAGCUAAUUAAACACAUUAAUAUAAUCCACACUUAAAUAAAUCAAACUAACCACUUAAUCACACUUAGCAUAAACUAAGCACACCUAAAGCAUAAUUAACCCUCUAAGCGAGGUUUAGUGAGCUAAACUCACCCGAUUAACGAACCGAGCGGACCAAAACGACGAGGACGCCGAGGAGAACAACUUUCCUCAAAGCGGGCCGAGCAUCCGGGCUCGGGAAGGCGGCCAAAACGGGCCACGAAGCCGCUGCAUACCCAUUUUCUGCAACUUCGGAUCUUGGGCGGAGGAGGGCUGAUUCGAGCCUAAUCGGGCGGAGGAACGGCAAGGGAGAGGAGCGGUAGCUCGGGCGGCCAACGGCGGGGCCUCACGGUGGCCGGAGGUGAGCUGGACGGCUCCGGCCGAGCUUCCCCAUAUCUGGAAACGCUGCUGGACUCGCGGAACAGCAGGGACGAGCAGGAGGCGCACGGUUGCUGGCCUCGUUGCUUGCGACGGCGACUUCGGCCACUCCGGGGACAGGACGGCGGACGGCGACGGACGAGGCUUCCUCGGCUCGCUGCUGGGUCCUUCGAGCAACAAGCAGAUGGUGAAGAGAGGAGAGGGAGACGGAGAUCCGAGCGACGAGGCGCGGUUGCGACGGCAGUGAGCGGACGGCGAGGAUGGCGUGCGGCGGCGGUGAACGGCGAAGGCGUGCGGCUUCUCCAGCUUGCUGGUUGCUGGGUUUUUGAAGAAGAAGAAGGAGAUGAAGAAGAUGGAGAUGGAGGAGUCGCACGGUUGGG